rnacentral:rRNA from 1 species
CCUUUUGAAUUUAAUCUAAGGUCUAAUCUGCCCACUGAGUAAUUAAAUGGCCGCGGUAUUUUGACCGUGCGAAGGUAGCAUAAUCAUUAGUUUUUUAAUUGGAAGCUGGAAUGAAUGAUUGGAUGAGAAAAUAACUGUCUCAAGUUAAUUUUUUUAGAAAUUUAUUUUUAAGUUAAAAAGCUUAAAUAUAUUUAAAAGACGAGAAGACCCUAUAGAGUUUUAUAUUUUUAUUUUAUUAAAUUUAAAUUGUUUUUAUUUAUUUAAUAAGUUAAGAUUAUUUUGUUGGGGUGACAGAAAAAUUUAAUAAACUUUUUUUUUAUUUAAAUACUAAUAAGUAAGUGUUUGAUCCAAAGUUUUUGAUUAAAAGAUUAAAUUACCUUAGGGAUAACAGCGUAAUUAUUUUUGAGAGUUCUUAUCGAAAAAAUAGAUUGCGACCUCGAUGUUGGAUUAAAAUUAAGUUUUGGUGUAGAAGCUAAAAUUUUAGGUCUGUUCGACCUUUAAAACUUU